AACGCAUCUUGCGCCCUUUGGUAUUCCUUAGGGCAUGCCUGUUUGAGUGUCACGAAUACACUUUGUGCCUCGUGUUUUGUCAUGAAACACGUUUGGGUGCAGUCUUGGAAGAUGUCAGGGGCAACCUUGACUCGUCCUAAAUGUAUUAGCUGGAUUGUUGGUCCACAUGGGUUGGUGCUUGCUCUUCUGGAGCGGUGCAGCCGUCAGCGUGAUAAGUAUCUUGCUGGUGGUUGUGCUGCAAAGGUUGUGCGUGAAGAGUGCCUUCUCGGACUGGCGUCUGCUUCUAAUCGAGGGUAGUGGAGUGGUUUUGCGACCGCCUCACCUACCGCAACUCUAUUAACUGACCUCAGACAGGUAGGACUACCCGCUGAACUUAA
rnacentral:misc_RNA from 2 species